rfam:Oryza glumipatula chromosome 2, whole genome shotgun sequence.
AAAAAGACAAACUCUAGGUUUCCGUGUCCAACUUUGAUUGUCCAUCUUAUAUGAAAUUUUUUUAUAAUUUGUAUUUUCAUUGUCGUUAGAUGAUAAAACAUGAUUAAUAUUUUAUAUGUGACUUGUCUUUUUAAUUUUUUUAUAAUUUUUUUAAAUAAGAUAGAUGGUUAAACGUUGGACACGGAAAUCAGGGUUUGUCUUUUU